rfam:Bacteroidetes bacterium RIFOXYA12_FTLL_38_20 rifixya3_full_scaffold_13, whole genome shotgun sequence.
AACGGAGCAGCCGAAAACCGGAAAGAGUAGGCA